AUAAUAGCUAUGAAGGGAAGAGUAGCCUUUUUUUAAAAUCUACAGAGAGCCAGGUGGCUGAGAACUGGUGAUUUAAAAUAGGCGAAGAUCAUCCCAGAGCUCUUUAAGUGAAUUUUAGUAGCUUAAAGCGUUAAGCAGGCGUUAACUGCUUAAAGUGCUGGUAAAAUUUCCAGUACUAGGGUGGUACCGCGGGAUAAGCUCGCCCCUAGA
rnacentral:ncRNA from 1 species